AAAAAGGCAUGAUUUAGAAAUUGGACACACGCGCUCAACGCGCAUUUGCUGAGACUGGCUGUGAAAUUUUUAUUUUUUCAAUUUUUUAUUCGAAAAGUGUGAAAAUAGAGUUCUCUGAUUGGCUGAAAAAAUGAAAAUAGUAGGGAAGCUCCUCCUCUCCUAUAUUUGAAAACAAUAAUAAAGACUCUGAGUGAAAACUCUAUCAGAGACAAAGCAUAUUUUUUUCAGAUUAUAUAGCUGCUCUUUGAUUUGCAGUGCGACGAGUAGAAAGAAGCCUUUACUUAUAUGUGAAAUUUAAGUUGAGACUUUUUGCAACUUCUCUUAUUCAAUUUCCACAGAAUACUUGGAAAAUUAUCCAUAUACCUGAAAAGCCUAUAUCGUCACUUGACCCUCAGCCCACUGGUAUGGCCAACUUCAACUUCAUUUUUCGUAUCAUUAUGUAGAUUUAGUAUCAAAACAAUAAAAUUAAAAAAAAAA